GCCAGCCCGCUCAGAAACUCAAGGAAUUGACGGGGCCCGCACAAGCGGUGGAGCACGUGGUUUAAUCGAUGAUACGCGAGGAACCUUACCUGGGCUCAAAUGUAUGUUGACGUAUUCUGAAAGGGAUACUUCUUCGGACAAUAUACAAGGUGCUGCAUGGUUGUCGUCAGCUCGUGCCGUGAGGUGUCGGGUUAAGUCCCAUAACGAGCGCAACCCCUAUCAUUAGUUGCCAUCAGGUCAAGCUGGGGACUCUAAUGAAACUGCCUACGCAAGUAGUGAGGAAGGUGGGGAUGACGUCAAAUCAGCACGGCCCUUACGUCCAGGGCUACACACGUGCUACAAUGGCCGGUACAAAGGGCAGCUACCUGGUGACAGGAUGCUAAUCUCAAAAGCCGGUCUCAGUUCGGAUCGGAGUCUGCAACCCGACUCCGUGAAGCUGGAAUCGCUAGUAAUCGCGCAUCAGCCAUGGCGCGGUGAAUACGUUCCCGGGCCUU
rnacentral:rRNA from 1 species